rnacentral:rRNA from 1 species
AUGUCCAUCGUGGCGGAUCUCUCUCGCCUGCAGGAGGACGACCGCGCCCCGAUUCUUGCCCGUGCGCCGCCGGCCGGGAGGCUCAUUGACGACAUCCUCGUGGAUAUCCUCUCGCGCCUCACCGCCAAGUCGCUCUGCCGCUGCAAGUGCGUCUGUAAGCACUGGCUCGGCCUCAUCCACCAACCUGACCACCGCAAAAGGCUCCCCCAAACCCUGGCUGGCUUCUUCUACGGCAGCAACACCACCGGGCAUCUGCCCUUCCACUUCACCAGCGUCUCGGGGGACAGCCGCCCUCCGUUUGGCACCUCCUUCACCUUCCUGCCCAACCACCACCUGCCCGUCGAUCUGCUCGACUCCUGCAACGGCCUCCUCCUCUGUCGAUGUUACCACGUCUCCGAUGGGGUUGGCGCGUUCCAUUAUGUCGUGUGCAAUCUCGCCACCGAGAAGUGGGUUGUGUUGCCCAACUCCGGCAAGGCCAUUAACGACGUGGCCACCACAUGUUUGGGCUUCGACCCGGCCCUAUCGUCGGAUUUCCAUGUCUUUGAGCUGGUAGUUGAUCACAAUUACAGUCAGGACACCGAGCUUUCCAGAGUGGCAGUGUAUUCGUCCGAAACCAGAGAGUGGGUUUAUAAGGAGGAGAGAUGGAUCGGAGAAGCUACCUGGCUUGCUGGUCGGCACUCCUCCACAACGGUCUUUCUUGAUGGCCUUCUGUUUUUUAGUGCCUUUGACCCCGACUUGUACGAUUGUAUAGCUGCGGUUGACACAAAAGGAGAAACAUGGAUGAAAUUCAGGGUCCCUAGUGGUCAGGUUGAUGAUGGUUUCAUCCAUAUGUCACAGGGCCGCUUACACUUUGCCAAUUUCCAGAGGGAUAAUAAUGGUGUUGCCAUUCGAUUUGUAGUUUAUGUUCUGGAGAACUAUCAAACCGGAGAAUGGAUAUUGAAGCAUGGCAUUGAAACUUCAAACAUGUUUGGAUGGACAGAUUUAUGUCCUGAUGGGGGUUUCGAUUUUAUUGCAAUUCAUCCGGAAUGCAACUUGGUGUUCUUUGCUACGGAUGAUGUCAAGCCGCUCUCUAUUCUGCCUUAUGUGCCGUUGUACACGGAGUCACAAUCAUUGCACAUUUGA